GGUUAAGCGACUAAGCGUACACGGUGGAUGCCCUGGCAGUCAGAGGCGAUGAAGGACGUGCUAAUCUGCGAAAAGCGUCGGUAAGGUGAUAUGAACCGUUACAGCCGGCGAUGUCCGAAUGGGGAAACCCAGUGCAAUUCGUUGCACUAUCGUUAACUGAAUACAUAGGUUAACGAGGCGAACCGGGGGAACUGAAACAUCUAAGUACCCCGAGGAAAAGAAAUCAACCGAGAUUCCCCCAGUAGCGGCGAGCGAACGGGGAGCAGCCCAGAGUCUGAAUCAGCUUGUGUGUUAGUGGAACGGUCUGGAAAGUCCGACGGUACAGGGUGAUAGUCCCGUACACCAAAAUGCACAGGCUGUGAACUCGAAGAGUAGGGCGGGACACGUGGUAUCCUGUCUGAAUAUGGGGGGACCAUCCUCCAAGGCUAAAUACUCCUGACUGACCGAUAGUGAACCAGUACCGUGAGGGAAAGGCGAAAAGAACCCCGGCGAGGGGAGUGAAAAAGAACCUGAAACCGUGUACGUACAAGCAGUGGGAGCACCUUCGGGUGUGACUGCGUACCUUUUGUAUAAUGGGUCAGCGACUUAUAUUCUGUAGCAAGGUUAACCGUAUAGGGGAGCCGCAGGGAAACCGAGUCUUAACUGGGCGUUAAGUUGCAGGGUAUAGACCCGAAACCCGGUGAUCUAGCCAUGGGCAGGUUGAAGGUUGGGUAACACUAACUGGAGGACCGAACCGACUAAUGUUGAAAAAUUAGCGGAUGACUUGUGGCUGGGGGUGAAAGGCCAAUCAAACCGGGAGAUAGCUGGUUCUCCCCGAAAGCUAUUUAGGUAGCGCCUCGUGAACUCAUCUUCGGGGGUAGAGCACUGUUUCGGCUAGGGGGUCAUCCCGACUUACCAACCCGAUGCAAACUACGAAUACCGAAGAAUGUUAUCACGGGAGACACACGGCGGGUGCUAACGUCCGUCGUGAAGAGGGAAACAACCCAGACCGCCAGCUAAGGUCCCAAAGUCAUGGUUAAGUGGGAAACGAUGUGGGAAGGCACAGACAGCCAGGAUGUUGGCUUAGAAGCAGCCAUCAUUUAAAGAAAGCGUAAUAGCUCACUGGUCGAGUCGGCCUGCGCGGAAGAUGUAACGGGGCUAAACCAUGCACCGAAGCUGCGGCAGCGACACGAUGUGUUGUUGGGUAGGGGAGCGUUCUGUAAGCCUGCGAAGGUGUGCUGUGAGGCAUGCUGGAGGUAUCAGAAGUGCGAAUGCUGACAUAAGUAACGAUAAAGCGGGUGAAAAGCCCGCUCGCCGGAAGACCAAGGGUUCCUGUCCAACGUUAAUCGGGGCAGGGUGAGUCGACCCCUAAGGCGAGGCCGAAAGGCGUAGUCGAUGGGAAACAGGUUAAUAUUCCUGUACUUGGUGUUACUGCGAAGGGGGGACGGAGAAGGCUAUGUUAGCCGGGCGACGGUUGUCCCGGUUUAAGCAUGUAGGCUGAUUGUCCAGGCAAAUCCGGAUAAUCAAGGCUGAGGUGUGAUGACGAGGCACUACGGUGCUGAAGUAACAAAUGCCCUGCUUCCAGGAAAAGCCUCUAAGCAUCAGGUAACAUCAAAUCGUACCCCAAACCGACACAGGUGGUCAGGUAGAGAAUACCAAGGCGCUUGAGAGAACUCGGGUGAAGGAACUAGGCAAAAUGGUGCCGUAACUUCGGGAGAAGGCACGCUGGUGUGUAGGUGAAGUCCCUGCGGAUGGAGCUGAGACCAGUCGAAGAUACCAGCUGGCUGCAACUGUUUAUUAAAAACACAGCACUGUGCAAACACGAAAGUGGACGUAUACGGUGUGACGCCUGCCCGGUGCCGGAAGGUUAAUUGAUGGGGUUAUCCGUAAGGAGAAGCUCUUGAUCGAAGCCCCGGUAAACGGCGGCCGUAACUAUAACGGUCCUAAGGUAGCGAAAUUCCUUGUCGGGUAAGUUCCGACCUGCACGAAUGGCGUAAUGAUGGCCAGGCUGUCUCCACCCGAGACUCAGUGAAAUUGAACUCGCUGUGAAGAUGCAGUGUACCCGCGGCAAGACGGAAAGACCCCGUGAACCUUUACUAUAGCUUGACACUGAACAUUGAGCCUUGAUGUGUAGGAUAGGUGGGAGGCUUUGAAGCGUGGACGCCAGUCUGCGUGGAGCCAACCUUGAAAUACCACCCUUUAAUGUUUGAUGUUCUAACGUUGGCCCCUUAUCGGGGUUGCGGACAGUGUCUGGUGGGUAGUUUGACUGGGGCGGUCUCCUCCCAAAGCGUAACGGAGGAGCACGAAGGUUAGCUAAUCCUGGUCGGACAUCAGGAGGUUAGUGCAAUGGCAUAAGCUAGCUUGACUGCGAGCGUGACGGCGCGAGCAGGUGCGAAAGCAGGUCAUAGUGAUCCGGUGGUUCUGAAUGGAAGGGCCAUCGCUCAACGGAUAAAAGGUACUCCGGGGAUAACAGGCUGAUACCGCCCAAGAGUUCAUAUCGACGGCGGUGUUUGGCACCUCGAUGUCGGCUCAUCACAUCCUGGGGCUGAAGUAGGUCCCAAGGGUAUGGCUGUUCGCCAUUUAAAGUGGUACGCGAGCUGGGUUUAGAACGUCGUGAGACAGUUCGGUCCCUAUCUGCCGUGGGCGCUGGAGAAUUGAGGGGGGCUGCUCCUAGUACGAGAGGACCGGAGUGGACGCAUCACUGGUGUUCGGGUUGUCAUGCCAAUGGCACUGCCCGGUAGCUAAAUGCGGAAGAGAUAAGUGCUGAAAGCAUCUAAGCACGAAACUUGCCCCGAGAUGAGUUCUCCCUGAGACUUUAAGUCUCCUGAAGGAACGUUAAAGACGAUGACGUUGAUAGGCCGGGUGUGUAAGCGCAGCGAUGCGUUGAGCUAACCGGUACUAAUGAACCGUGAGGCUUAACCUU
rnacentral:rRNA from 1 species